rnacentral:lncRNA from 1 species
GUUCUAUUUGAAUUUAUUUUCUAAUCUUGUAGCUAUCACUAAGAUUUGCAUGCUUGCGUUUUUUGAACCAUCAGCAGGUUGGCGUGACUGAUGAUGUAUAGCCAUUCCUGGGAUCUGGAAGAUUUGGUACUGAUUGGCCGAGUAGUAGGUCUCUUCAUGCAAGUUUUGUAAUUUACCAUUCCCAUAUUUGAUGGAGCAAGUGAAACAUAUUUCUUCAUAUUACCCAUAGUCACUAUAUCUGCUUAUCAGGCUUCACGAAAAACUCAGAUGAUACAUAUAAACUCCAGUGGAUAUAAAUGUCAUUUGUUAUUCUCUAAAUCGAAUUUAGCGGGAACUAAUUACAGUUUGUUAUUCUAUAAAUGUUGUUUGUUUUUCUAUAGCCAUCACCAAUACUAAAUUUUGUUUUCUAAUGAAAGAUCCUGGAAUUGUUAUGCAGAAUAGGCAAACUGUUCUCUUUUCUACCACACAGACUCAGGACGUUAGGGGAUCUAUUAUUCAGCCUAUUCAAAUUUUCCCCAAUUUUUUCGGCGGCAAUGCUUAUGUCGUGUCAUCCCACAGGUUGAAGAUUUUACAAAUUUUACGUUUGGGAAAAAGGAAGAGAAGACAACGAAAACUUGUUUAUGUUGGAGUAGAUGACUCUGAGUUAAAGGUAUGGAACUGCUUCACCCUGCUGUUCAACUUUCUUUUAAAGAUUUUUUGGUUUAUUUGGUAGUAUGAAAAAUAAUUGUGAUGCUCUUGCAACCUACCGCUGUAGCGCUGCAGCAGCGCUCUUCUUAAUUUCACUUAUUUGUCCGAUAUUAAACCUGUUUAGCUCAUGGAUGUGACAAUAUGUUUGCUGUUAUAGAAGGUGGGUGGACUCUCAGAAGGCCAUCUGAGGUUUCUGCAGCUGGCGGUGCCGGGCUUCCCAUUGCUGCAGGCACAACACUACAGGCAUUGGGGUCCAUUGGUGCCAAGUUUGCC